AUGGCCACUGCAGCUGAAAAAGACACAGUAUGGAUCGGGUUCAUGGACAUCGUUCCGGUCAUCGGGACGGUAAAAGAGGCAGUGGAGCUGGUGCUGGCUCUGUACGAAGGGAAUAAAGCAGUGAUAAAGGAGAAAGAGAAGGCCAUUGAAAACAUUCUGAAAGAGUCAUCAGAAAUACAUGAGAAGGAAAACUAUGUGAAAAAGUUGACUCUAGCUGAUAAACCAGCAGCAGCAGCUGCAGAUGAAUUUUCUGGACUCAGAAAUGUGAGAGAGGUCAGAAAGGAAAUGGUUAUUGAGUAUAUGGCCAAAGGUUCCAAAAAGGGAACAAAACCCCCAACUUCAGCUGAGCAGAAAGAGAGACAGAAAAAAGUGGAGGCUAUUCAGAAAGACAUGUUAGAAAAGAUCCGUAUCAUCAAUCCAAACUUCAAUGAGGAGCUGAAGGAUGAACUGCGAAGGCCAAAAAGAGGGGAACAUGUCUUCAACAAUGACAUUCUUAAAUUUCAUUCCAAGGUGCUGACUGAGUUUAUACAAAGAUAUAGUAUUGCUAAUCGACGAGGAUAUAAUCAGCAGGCAAUGAAUGAAUUAGGCAGACACACACUUCCCCAAAACACAGCAACAGAUAUUCAGACAAACAUGGUGGUUCACUUUGGGGAGGAUGAAUUCUAUGUGAAUGUGAAUGCAGUGAUGUAUGGUGAAUAUUGCAGAGCACUGCGUGGUGCUUUGUUAGAUGUGCUGCGCCACAUAAACCCAGGUGACGUGGCAGAUGAGGAGAGACAACGGGUGAAUGAUGUCAUAGAUAAUAUGAAUAACCUUGCAAUCUAUGUGGACCAUCUGGCAAAGGUCAGGUGGAUUGGCAAUAAUGAGACUAGACGGGCCCGGUUUGAACAGGUAAGACGGGAAGUUGCGAACAUGUAUAACACAGAUCGUGGGUUUGAGUGGUGCAUUCGCAUUCUGAAUCAAGUUAGGACCUUUGUUUGA
ensembl:lncRNA